rnacentral:rRNA from 1 species
UACGAAGGGUGCAAGCGUUACUCGGAAUCACUGGGCGUAAAGCGUGCGUAGGCGGUUGGUUAAGUCUGCUGUGAAAGCCCUGGGCUCAACCUGGGAACUGCAGUGGAUACCGGCCAGCUAGAGUGUGAUAGAGGAUGGUGGAAUUCCCGGUGUAGCGGUGAAAUGCGUAGAGAUCGGGAGGAACACCAGUGGCGAAGGCGGCCAUCUGGAUCAACACUGACGCUGAGGCACGAAAGCGUGGGGAGCAAACAGG